GGCUCAGUGGUCUAGGGGUGUGAUACUCGCUUCGGGAGCGAGUGGUCCCGGGUUCGAGUCCCGGCUGGGACC
rfam:Echinostoma caproni strain Egypt genome assembly, scaffold: ECPE_scaffold0008107